GAUGAAGAACGCAGCGAAAUGCGAUAAGUAAUGUGAAUUGCAGAAUUCAGUGAAUCAUCGAAUCUUUGAACGCACAUUGCGCCCGCCAGUAUUCUGGCGGGCAUGCCUGUCUGAGCGUCAUUUCAACCCUCAUGCCCCUAGGGCGUGGUGUUGGGGAUCGGCCAAAGCCCGCGAGGGACGGCCGGCCCCUAAAUCUAGUGGCGGACCCGUCGUGGCCUCCUCUGCGAAGUAGUGAUAUUCCGCAUCGGAGAGCGAUGAGCCCCUGCCGUUAAACCCCCAACUUUCCAAGGUUGACCUCAGAUCAGGUAGGAAUACCCGCUGAACUUAAGUAUAUCAUAAGCGGAGG
rnacentral:misc_RNA from 1 species